AUACUUCUUCCACUCCCUCUCAGCCCAGGCAACAAUUUCUUCAGAGGAGUCCUCUUUCCUCACUGACCACAGAUCAUCCACCCCCAAAGACUGCCGACAGCCUUUCCAGACAAGCCUGGAAAACACAGACAGCCAUUAAAGAACCACCAGUAUGUGAUUUUGGACAGAAAAGAGCUGCUGGCUUCUGGACACUGAUUCUGAUGGGAGGAAAAACAUGGAUGAUAUUUAUAUGGAGAAAAGGGAACAUGUCAUAUGAUAUCCCUUCUGCGCUUUUCCGAGAGAAACAAACAAAAGGCUACCUAGCCCCCACUCCUUGCCUCUGACAGCCUAAGUGUAUUGUGAGGGAUCAAUGGGACUUUGGAGAAUUAGACUUCGAAUAAUGUCUCCAAAUACCAUCCUUCAUAUCCAAAGACAGUUACUUUCUGAAGCACAUAAUUCUGCCAUACGUGUACCUCCGAUAGAGGAAUGUACUGAUUUACUGAAGGCCACGCAGAAGCAAAAUAAGCCCUAUAUGCUGGUUUCAAUGAAAACAAGCAAGAGUGUGGAUAGGUCACUAGUUUUUCAAAACACAGAGAGAGAGACGGAGUUGUUAUCCCCAGAUCUGCUGGUUACCUUUUAAUACCAUUGGCCUUUAUACAGAAUGAUGUAUUUUGCAUCUCCCAGAUAAUCAUGUUCCUGUGUACCCCCAGAACUUUAAACUUGCUUGAGCAGUGAAGCAAAGCAUUAUGAAAAGCUACAUUAUACUUACAGAACUGUUGACAGCUUUAGAGAAGAAGGGAGGGUGAUCAACUAAGCAGAAUAACACAAGUUCACCAAGCACCAGGCUAGCAUAAAGGUAAGUGGCAACAUGGUGGAAAAAGUCUUCCAAGAACCCCUAAGAAACAGAAUACUGCUGAGAAUGUGGUAAAAAUUCUUCACAUGAAAUCAGUGGGAAAAGAUGGCUUCUCCGUACGCUACAAGCCAUAAGCUCUGAGUUUUUGUUUGAAGCAUGGCGUUUAUUUUUUGUACUUGCAUUUAUUUAAAUUAUAGUUGUGUAGCUAUUGAAAUAGGUAACUGCUAGAACUGGAACACCAGAAACUGCUGAAUAAUGGACUCAUUUAUCAUUUAUAGUAAUGCUUUAUCAUGAGACUUCACAGCAUACUUAAGUCAGAUGUCUACAUUGCAUAAUUGUUCAGAGAACUUGUGGUGUUUCAGUGCAUAGGUUGUGCUCACAUAGUGGAAUAAGUCACUGACAGAAUGUAACAGCGUUUACAUUCAUUUGCUUUUAUUCAUAUGUGAAAUCUGAUGAACACUCAGAAAACCAUGCUCUGUCUGUACUGAAAGGGAUAACAUGAGUACAGAUCAGAGUCACUGAUCAUUUUUCUCAGCACAGACAUUAAGAAAGGAAUUCAGUUCUUCACCUUGCUAUCAAUGAGGCAAAAAGAACCAUAUUGUUCAGAGCCUUCAUACCCUUUCAUGUUAAAGAUACAUGAUUUCACUUACUCUUUCCAGGCCACGUUGGAUUUUGGAACUAAACAUCACAAGUGCAGACAAGAAUGUGAGCAGCCAGUAAAUCAACAUGAUGCCUGAAGACUGGAUGCCCAUCAUUCUUUCUACUUGGGUAAGGAACAUGGCGAGGAUCUGUGAGGAAGCAGAAAUACCUCCAGGUAAAUAGCUGGUAGUGAAAUGCCAAACAUUACUAUCAAGUUAAUGGACACAAUAAAGCAAAAUCAGUUUCUUGCCCAAA